rnacentral:rRNA from 1 species
GAUGAACGCUAGCUACAGGCUUAACACAUGCAAGUCGAGGGGAAACGACAUCGAAAGCUUGCUUUUGAUGGGCGUCGACCGGCGCACGGGUGAGUAACGCGUAUCCAACCUGCCCACCACUUGGGGAUAACCUUGCGAAAGUAAGACUAAUACCCAAUGACGUCUCUAGAAGACAUCUGAAAGAGAUUAAAGCUUUAUCGGUGAUGGAUGGGGAUGCGUCUGAUUAGCUUGUUGGCGGGGUAACGGCCCACCAAGGCGACGAUCAGUAGGGGUUCUGAGAGGAAGGUCCCCCACAUUGGAACUGAGAAACGGUCCAAACUCCUACGGGAGGCAGCAGUGAGGAAUAUUGGUCAAUGGACGAGAGUCUGAACCAGCCAAGUAGCGUACAGAAGGACGGCCGUAUGGGUUGUAAACUGCUUUUAUAAGGAAAUAAAGUGAGUCUCGUGAGACUUUUUGCGUGUACCUUAUGAAUAAGGACCGGCUAAUUCCGUG